rnacentral:lncRNA from 1 species
AUUUGUAUUAUCAGAGAAUCUCUAAGAAUGCAUUCAAUUCUAAAAUCCCGUAGUUUGAAGUAUAUUUUAAUAAGUGUAGAUUUCAGAAAUUAAUGUCUAUUUUGCUUUUCCCAUUGCUUUUCCUUUCCUUGCAUUAUCUUGUUCUAUAUAAAGUUUUGAGAAAUUAAUGUAUAUAUUUCCCUCUAGACAUUUUGGAGAACAUGGCCACCACUCUCUCAAAUAACACCACAAUAUACAACCUUGUUCACCAGGAUCUUGUCACACUGGGGAAGUUUCUGGAAGAAUAUGCAUAGAGGAAAAUAAAUCUGUGGAAAACAAGUCAUCAAAGAAGCUGCAGCAACUUGCCGUGACAUAUUUUCUACUAUCAACUGUGUCCAGUCUUGGGGUCCGGGCUACCGUAAGAAAACAACUGGAAACUCACAUUUUAAAAAAUAACAAAUUAUACAGCAACCAUAUUUUGGCAUUAAAAUCAGAGGCAUUUCUAAGGUAGAUUCUCGUUUCUGGUCAUGAAGACUGCGCCCCUCUCCUCUCCGGUGUGAACUGCAGUGCGUCCCUGAGGUUUUGGGGGAGGACUUGACACGGAGGAUGAGAGCACAGGGGCAGAAUCCUUGGUUGGCCUGUAACGCUCCAUGAUCUUUCACAAGGUGACUACAAAAUGGCGAGAACAGAUGGCCUAUCUUCUGCUUCAAAUUUGAUGUUUCAAUGAAAAACAUUAUCUUAAAUUCAUGUUCUUACUGGAAAUGGUUAAAUCCACUUUUACUCAAGAUUUACAGUUUAAUCCAAAGACUCUUUAAUGUUACAAAGAAAUAUAAAGUUACCCUAAGUUAAAAUUGAUUGAUGGACAUUGAAGUAACUACAAACAUCGGG